GGCCGGCCUCGCCGACGAGGGCGUCGUCGCCGAAAUAAUCGCCGCGGGUCGCGAGGCCCUGGCGCAGGCGGCCCUUGUAGGGGCCCGACAGGGUCAGCUCGACGGUGCCGUCGGCGACGAUCACGAGGCUGCGGCCCUUGGCGCCCUCCUCGGCGAUCACAUCACCGGCCUUGUGAUGGCUCUCGGUGAACUUGCCGGCCAGGGUGGCGAGCUCGGCAUCGCCGAGGCGGCUGAACAGCGGGACGGCGCGCAGCGAACCGGGACGGAUCGUACGGCCCUUGUCCUCGCUCACCAGAUCGACGCGGCCGGGCUUGGCCAGCACGACGGCGCGGCGGUUCACCCGGUAGACACCGCCGGCGACAUCAACGAACGGCAGCAGGCGCAGCAGGAAGCGCGGGGUGUUGGCGACGUUCUGGACCGAUGUGACGGUCGCAGUGGCUAGAUUGCGCGCCGCAGAGGCGCUCACGCUCAGG
rnacentral:antisense_RNA from 1 species